AGCGAACGCUGGCGGCAGGCUUAACACAUGCAAGUCGAGCGGGCGUAGCAAUACGUCAGCGGCAGACGGGUGAGUAACGCGUGGGAACAUACCUUUUGGUUCGGAACAACACAGGGAAACUUGUGCUAAUACCGGAUAAGCCCUUACGGGGAAAGAUUUAUCGCCGAAAGAUUGGCCCGCGUCUGAUUAGCUUGUUGGUGAGGUAACGGCUCACCAAGGCGACGAUCAGUAGCUGGCUGAGAGGAUGAUCAGCCACAUUGGGACUGAGACACGGCCCAAACUCCUACGGGAGGCAGCAGUGGGGAAUAUUGGACAAUGGGCGCAAGCCUGAUCCAGCCAUGCCGCGUGAGUGAUGAAGGCCCUAGGGUUGUAAAGCUCUUUUGUGCGGGAAGAUAAUGACGGUACGCAAG
rnacentral:rRNA from 1 species